CAUCAUGUUGACCAGGAUGGUCUCGAUCUCUUGACCUCGUGAUCCACCCGCCUCGGCCUCCCAAAGUGCUGGGAUUACAGGCUUGAGCCACCGCGCCCGGCAGGACUGAACUUUUAUUUAAUUCCAAGGUGUGUUUCAGUUGUGAACAAAAGCAGGAGUUCCCUGGAGCUUUAAGUAGCUAAACUAAAACAGUGAAGCCUCUAGCAGCCACCAGUGACUAUUUUGAUUUGUACAGAAUAGACUGUUAAUACAUGAUUUAGUUAACGUUACCUAAAUUGUUUGCAACUCCUUUUUGACAGGAUUACUUACUCUUAGUUGACUGUUUCAUUACCCGAUAACAUAUAUUACCAAGGAACAGAAAUUUUAGAUUAUUUCUUAUUAUUCAAAAAUGAAACAGAUUCUAAAUUGAAGUAGUCCCUGAGAAUUUCCUUGGUGAUGAAAGGAAUGAUCAUUUUUAGACUUCACAGGGACUUAAUUGAAGUUUGGUGUGGCCACUUUCCACUUGAAUUUUUCACUGUUAUACUGAUAAAAUUUUUUUGCCUGUCAAGAUAUUUUACAGCAUGUGAUCCUCCCUCUGUAAACUUCAUAUAUACGGCAUCAGGACAGUAAGAACAUCAAAUCAGUUAGACCUCUCCCAAGCCAAUACAUAUUUGAAGAAAUACAUACUGGGUUCCUUUUUCAGUGCAGUGUUGUUAGUGGGAAAAAAACAUAGAAGUAUAUAAAAAAGGAAACUGAGAAAAGAUACAUUCUA